rnacentral:rRNA from 1 species
UACGUAGGGUCCGAGCGUUGUCCGGAAUUAUUGGGCGUAAAGAGCUCGUAGGCGGUUUGUCGCGUCUGCUGUGAAAACUCGGGGCUUAACCCCGGGCCUGCAGUGGGUACGGGCAGACUAGAGUGCGGUAGGGGAGACUGGAAUUCCUGGUGUAGCGGUGAAAUGCGCAGAUAUCAGGAGGAACACCGGUGGCGAAGGCGGGUCUCUGGGCCGUAACUGACGCUGAGGAGCGAAAGCGUGAGGAGCGAACAGG